UACGUAGGGUGCAAGCGUUAAUCGGAAUUACUGGGCGUAAAGCGUGCGCAGGCGGUGAUGUAAGACAGGUGUGAAAUCCCCGGGCUUAACCUUGGAACUGCAUUUGUGACUGCAUAGCUAGAGUACGGUAGAGGGGGAUGGAAUUCCGCGUGUAGCAGUGAAAUGCGUAGAUAUGCGGAGGAACACCGAUGGCGAAGGCAAUCCCCUGGACCUGUACUGACGCUCAUGCACGAAAGCGUGGGGAGCAAACAGG
rnacentral:rRNA from 1 species